GAUGAACGCUGGCGGCGUGCCUAAUACAUGCAAGUCGAGCGAACGGACGAGAAGCUUGCUUCUCUGAUGUUAGCGGCGGACGGGUGAGUAACACGUGGAUAACCUACCUAUAAGACUGGGAGAACUUCGGGAAACCGUAGCUAAUACCGGAUAAUAUUUUGAACCGCAUGGUUCAAAAGUGAAAGACGGUCUUGCUGUCACUUAUAGAUGGAUCCGCGCUGCAUUAGCUAGUUGGUAAGGUAACGGCUUACCAAGGCAACGAUGCAUAGCCGACCUGAGAGGGUGAUCGGCCACACUGGAACUGAGACACGGUCCAGACUCCUACGGGAGGCAGCAGUAGGGAAUCUUCCGCAAUGGGCGAAAGCCUGACGGAGCAACGCCGCGUGAGUGAUGAAGGUCUUCGGAUCGUAAAACUCUGUUAUUAGGGAAGAACAUAUGUGUAAGUAACUGUGCACAUCUUGACGGUACCUAAUCAGAAAGCCACGGCUAACUACGUG
rnacentral:rRNA from 1 species